CCUACUGAAGAUUCAAAAGGCGAGCACUUAAAUGAGAAAGGUGACCGAAGGGUUCACACUAGAAAGUGCUUAUAAAGGUGUCAACAGGUGUGCGGAGCCGGAGCUCACCUAUGGGAAAGAGCGCCCGUAGGGCCGAGUCUUCGCCCAUCUUCUCCUUUAGAUAACUCAAAGUGUCCGCCUAACUCGUUCAGUCUACUCCACGUAGCAAGGUCAAACUAUUGGCAGGGCUUUUUGUUGUCAAAAAGAAAAUCGCUUACGAGUGCUUUGCUGGGCACUCUCAAACAAGAGCUUCGCUUUUUGCAAAGCCCU
rnacentral:lncRNA from 1 species